GCCCUGGUGGUGGAAUUGGUAGACACGCAGGACUUAAAAUCCUGUGCUCGCAAGAGCGUACGGGUUCAAGUCCCGUCUGGGGUACAA
rnacentral:tRNA from 1 species